rnacentral:rRNA from 1 species
GACGAACGCUGGCGGCGUGCCUAAUACAUGCAAGUAGAACGCUGAAGGAGGAGCUUGCUUCUCUGGAUGAGUUGCGAACGGGUGAGUAACGCGGAGGUAACCUGCCUGGUAGCGGGGGAUAACUAUUGGAAACGAUAGCUAAUACCGCAUAAUAGCAGUUGUUGCAUGACAACUGUUUGAAAGGUGCAAUUGCAACACUACCAGAUGGACCUGCGUUGUAUUAGCUAGUUGGUGGGGUAACGGCUCACCAAGGCGACGAUACAUAGCCGACCGGAGAGGGGGGUCGGCCACACUGGGACUGGGACACGGCCCAGGCUCCUACGGGAGGCAGCAGUAGGGAAUCUUCGGCAAUGGACGGAAGUCUGACCGAGCAACGCCGCGUGAGUGGAGAAGGUUUUCGGAUCGGAAAGCUCUGUUGUAAGAGAAGAACGAGUGUGGGAGUGGAAAGUUCACACUGUGACGGUAUCUUAACAGAAAGGGACGGCUAACUACGUG